rnacentral:rRNA from 1 species
UACGAAGGGGGCUAGCGUUGCUCGGAAUCACUAGGCGUAAAGCGCACGUAGGCGGCUUUCUAAGUCAGGGGUGAAAUCCUGGAGCUCAACUCCAGAACUGCCUUUGAUACUGGGAGCUCGAGUCCGGAAGAGGUGAGUGGAAUUCCUAGUGUAGAGGUGAAAUUCGUAGAUAUUAGGAAGAACACCAGUGGCGAAGGCGGCUACACUGGCCCCGGUACUGACGCUGAGGCGCGAAAGCGUGGGGAGCAAACAGGG